UGGGGAAUCUUCCGCAAUGGACGAAAGUCUGACGGAGCAACGCCGCGUGAGUGAUGACGGCCUUCGGGUUGUAAAGCUCUGUUAUAUGGGACGAACGUGCCAUAGGCCAAUACCCUAUGGCAGUGACGGUACCGUAAGAGAAAGCCACGGCUAACUACGUGCCAGCAGCCGCGGUAAUACGUAGGUGGCAAGCGUUGUCCGGAAUUAUUGGGCGUAAAGGGCGCGCAGGCGGCCUGUCAAGUCUGUCUUAAAAGUGCGGGGCUCAACCCCGUGAGGGGAUGGAAACUGACAGGCUGGAGUGUCGGAGAGGAAAGCAGAAUUCCUAGUGUAGCGGUGAAAUGCGUAGAUAUUAGGAGGAAUACCAGUGGCGAAAGCGGCUUUCUGGACGACAACUGACGCU
rnacentral:rRNA from 1 species